ACGGUGUAGCGGUGAAAUGCGUAGAUAUCGUGGGGAACACCAGUGGCGAAGGCGACUUUCUGGACUGAUUCUGACGCUGAGGUGCGAAAGCGUGGGGAGCGAACGGGAUUAGAUACCCCGGUAGUCCACGCCGUAAACGUUGUUCACUAAGUGUAGGAGGUAUCGACCCCUUCUGUGCUACAGAUAAUUCGUUAAGUGAACCGCCUGAGAAGUACGACCGCAAGGUUAAAACUCAAAGAAAUUGACGGGGGCCCGCACAAGCAGUGGAGCAUGUGGUUUAAUUCGAUGAUACGCGAAGUACCUUACCAGGACUUGACAUCCUUGGAAUUCUUUAGAGAUAGAGAAGUGCCUUCGGGAACCAAGUGACAGGUGGUGCAUGGCUGUCGUCAGCUCGUGUCGUGAGAUGUUGGGUUAAGUCCCGCAACGAGCGCAACCCUUUUUCUGUGUUGCCAGCACUUUUAGGUGGGAACUCACAGAAUACUGCCUGUAAAAACAGGAGGAAGGUGAGGACGACGUCAAGUCAUCAUGCCCCUUACGUCCUGGGCGACACACAUGCUACAAUGGUCGGUACAAAGGGCAGCAAAGCCGCAAGGUGGAGCGAAUCUCAUAAAACCGGCCUCAGUUCGGAUUGUAGUCUGCAACUCGACUACAUGAAGUCGGAAUUGCUAGUAAACGUAGAUCAGCCAUGCUACGUUGAAUUUGUUCCCGGGCCUUGUACACACCGCCCGUCACACCAUGAGAGUUGGAAAUGCCCG
rnacentral:rRNA from 1 species